rnacentral:rRNA from 1 species
CAGUCGCCGCGGGAAUACGUAGGGUGCAAGCGUUAAUCGGAAUUACUGGGCGUAAAGCGUGCGCAGGCGGUUAUAUAAGACAGAUGUGAAAUCCCCGGGCUCAACCUGGGAACUGCAUUUGUGACUGUAUAGCUAGAGUACGGCAGAGGGGGAUGGAAUUCCGCGUGUAGCAGUGAAAUGCGUAGAUAUGCGGAGGAACACCGAUGGCGAAGGCAAUCCCCUGGGCCUAUACUGACGCUCAUGCACGAAAGCGUGGGGAGCAAACAGGAUUAGACACCCGCGUAGUCCCUGUCUCUUAUAC